ACAGACUCAUGCAAUCUGCCUCAUGGCAAGUACUGUGUGGGUUUGUGUUCCUUGGUGGUGAGCCUUGAUGCUUUUAACUGGGUGUCUUGGUGAACCACCUCUGUUACCUUGAGAAAAUUAGAGUGUUCAAAGCAGGCAUAUGCCCAAAUACAUUAGCAUGGAAUAAUGAAAUAGGACAUGCAGUUCUAUUUUGUUGGUUUCUAGAGUUGCCGUA
rnacentral:rRNA from 1 species